ACCCAGAUAGUCUAAAAAAAACAUCGGUCUUGUAAGCCGAAACUAAGGAUUAGCCCCCUUUCUGAGUA
rnacentral:tRNA from 1 species